rnacentral:misc_RNA from 1 species
CAUGAACGUAAUGCUCAUAACUUCCCGCUAGACCUAGCUGCUGUCGAACGCUCCAUCUAUCAAUGGAUAAAAGCAUAAGACUUUGGUUUUAGUGUGUACGAGUUCUUUAAAAAAAGGAGCAAUACCAUGCUCUCUUGAUUGAUCAAGAGAGCUGGUAUUGCUCCUUUUUUUAUUCUUAUUAUAUAUAUAUCUCUUUAAAAUAAACUGCACAAAAAAAGAUGGCAAAAGAGAAAAAGUUUUUCUUUUUUUGAAUCUUUAUCUUAUAAGAAAGAUGAAAUUGAAUGAUAACUUUUAAGUAC